rnacentral:lncRNA from 1 species
UCAAUUACAUUAUACAAUCUCUUUCUUUUUAUAUUUCAUUAUGGUAUCAGAGCCUGUUGAAUUCAAGGGUCACCUAUCGAUUCUGCACCAAGCUCAAAGAGUGUAGUUGGGCGUAACUAAAUAAGAAUAAAAUUGAGUAAAUUAAAAAAUAUGGGGAGCUGUAUGCCAGAAAUCCCACAUGAAACUCAUCUCUUUAUAAAAGGCCUACUAGUCUUUAUUCUGAGUUUUGCUUUUUCUUCAUCCCCUUGACACUUUUGCAUGUGCUGCACCAAAGGCAUUAGUUAUGGAAUUCUGAACUAGCUUUUUUUUACGUCAGACUUCGUAACAAGCUUGGAAAUUAAUUUACUUUCAUUAGUUAGUAAACUUCAUGGGAAUAUCCAAAAUGUCAUUGUUUGAUCAUGGGAAUAAGUAAACAUCAAAGAAACAUAUGUUUUUUGCUUUCACUCUAAGCAAAUACACGUACAUUAACAAGUGACUAUAUAUAUGAAGUUACAAUUUAAAAUGGAUUAGCCUAUGCACAUGUUUGUGUGUAUGAACACACGAGGUGGAUCAUUGGAGUUGGUGAUGUAAUCUUCGCGCCUAUUGAUUGGAUUCUACUUCUCUAAUUGUAUGCUCAUUUUUUAAGCGAAGAGGGUGUAUCUGUAAAGACACUCGGAUGUCAAUGUAUGAAAGGGUCUAGUCGAUAUAGUUAGUAAGUGAGUGGAAUAACGAGCGAUCAUACCUUGGUAGUGAACAUCCUAUUCAUAGAAUUACUUGAUU